rnacentral:rRNA from 1 species
CCUACGGGCGGCAGCAGUGGGGAAUAUUGCACAAUGGGGGAAACCCUGAUGCAGCGACGCCGCGUGGGUGAAGAAGUAUUUCGGUACGUAAAGCUCUAUCAGCAGGGAAGAAAAUGACGGUACCUGACUAAUAAGCCCCGGCUAACUACGUGCCAGCAGCCGCGGUAAUACGGAGGGGGCAAGCGUUAUCCGGAUUUACUGGGUGUAAAGGGAGCGUAGACGGCAGCGCAAGUCUGGAGUGAAAUCCCAUGGCUUAACCAUGGAACUGCUUUGGAAACUGUUCAGCUAGAGUGCAGGAGAGGUAAGCGGAAUUCCUAGUGUAGCGGUGAAAUGCGUAGAGAUUAGGAGGAACACCAGUUGCGAAGGCGGCUUACUGGACUGUAACUGACGUUGAGGCUCGAAAGCGUGGGGAGCAAACAGGAUUAGAUACCCGGGUAGUC